rnacentral:lncRNA from 1 species
UCGUCAGUCGUCAGUCGUGUUUUGUGCUCUGUUCGUUUAUAACUUUGGGAAGAGGGAUCGAAUCACGCUGCGUUGAAGAAUAGAAGGCAAUUAUUCAUUUUCAAAAUAAACUAAACUAACUAGAAUGUGAAGGUUCUAUUUUCUAUGUAGCAGGAAACUACAAAGUGAUAAAUCAUUGCAGUUUGAAUCUGGUUCAAACAUUAGACACAUAAAAUUCCAAAAGCUGUCAUAAAACUUGGUCAUAUUGGAUGGAGAAAGAGCUUGUGGGUUGGGCUAAGAUUGCAAGAUUGUUGUGUUACAAAAUUUUCCAACAUCGAAAAAUUUGCAAUCAUCACUACUUCAAAUCAAGAGAAGAUGGAUGUGGCUCGGAUUGGAACUUCAUUUAGACUUUGGAUGCUGUAAAAAACUGAAGAAGAAACGCGAGUUAACGAUACUGCAGUGACUGGCAUUUUUAUGGUGGAGGAUUCAGAAGAUAAACCUGCCUGCUUUUGGAACAGGUUCACUUCAUUAUUCGCCCUAUUGAUUUACCUGGGGAAUCCAUCAUUCCACUAGUCUGUUACGAAAGUGAUGCUAGUUACAAACGACACAAUCUUCUCGAAAGUCUUCGAAGUCGACUAAAGAAGGAGAAUUUAUUGCGAGCAGAACAGGAAUUAACAUUCGUUUUCUAACCAAUGAACAACUGGGUGCGUAAAGCUCAACACAUCACACGGGGGACAUUUCUUGUCAUUGCAACAAUAUUAUGAUUCAAACUGACGCCGGUUGAGACUGGUUUGGGUCUUAAAAUCCACUGGACUCAUCAGACUAUUCCGUUUCCUGCAUGCUGAUACACUUUGGAUCCUGCGACAAGUACCGAAUACUCGACGGAUCGUCUGAUAAUUUAGAGCAAACAUUUUGGGGCAUCUCUCGUUCGACAUUUCAGCGCAUUCUACCUCCCGCUUAAAUCGACGGUUUGCAACUUAACCAUAAAUUUGUAUAAGUUUGCAGAGGAAGAGAGGAAUAUUUU